GAUCUCCAUCCAGCUAAAAUCAGUUUACAAAACGAUUUUGACUAUCAAUACUAUCAAAACCGUAUUAAAACGAAGCAAAAACCAUUUUAUAGCAUAGCACAAGAUGUUAUACAAACAUUUAACAUUGAUACAAAAGUUAUAUAUAAACAGAGUGAAUGCCCACAGCCCCCGUGGCACUUACUUAAACCCAAUGUUAGCACCCAGUUACACAAUAUUAUAACAAAAAAGGAC
rnacentral:lncRNA from 1 species